rnacentral:rRNA from 1 species
GACGAACGCUGGCGGCGUGGAUUAGGCAUGCAAGUCGAACGGUAUCAUCCUUUCGGGGGUGAGAGAGUGGCGAACUGGUGAGUAACACGUAGGUUAUCUACCCUCAAGACGGGGACAACCCAGGGAAACUUGGGCUAAUACCGGAUGUGAGCAACUUUUAGUUGUUUGAAAGGUGGCGUAAGCUGUCGCUUGGGGAUGAGCCUGCGUCCUAUUAGUUAGUUGGUGAGGUAACGGCUCACCUAGGCAAUGAUAGGUAGGCGGCCUUAACGGGUGGUCGCCCACACUGGGAUUGAGAUACGGCCCAGACUCCUACGGGAGGCAGCAGUCGAGAAUAGUCUACAAUGGUCGGAAGACUGAUAGUGCGACGCCGCGUGAACGAUGAAUCCCUUCGGGGUGUAAAGUUCUUUUAUAUGUGAGCAGUGCUUCUUAUAUUAACAGUAUGGGGAGAGAGAUAUUAGCAUAUGAAUAAGCAACGGCUAACUCCGUAGCCAGCAGCCGCGGUAAACUGUUACG